rnacentral:rRNA from 1 species
ACCUGGGGAAACCCAGGCUAAUACCGCAUACGUCCUACGGGAGAAAGGGGGCUUCGGCUCCCGCUAUCGGAUGAGCCUAUGUCGGAUUAGCUAGUUGGUGAGGUAAAGGCUCACCAAGGCGACGAUCCGUAGCUGGUCUGAGAGGGAUGAUCAGCCACAUCGGGGACUGAGACACGGCCCGAACUCCUACGGGAGGCAGCAGUGGGGAAUAUUGGACAAUGGGGGGAACCCUGAUCCAGCCAUGCCGCGUGUGUGAAGAAGGCCCUCGGGUUGUAAAGCACUCUCAGUGAGGAAGAACGCCUGGUGGUUAAUACCCAUCAGGAAAGACAUCACUCACAGAAGAAGCACCGGCUAACUCCGUGCCAGCAGCCGCGGUAAUACGGAGGGUGCGAGCGUUAAUCGGAAUUACUGGGCGUAAAGCGCGCGUAGGUGGCUUGAUAAGCCGGUUGUGAAAGCCCCGGGCUCAACCUGGGAACGGCAUCCGGAACUGUCAAGCUAGAGUGCAGGAGAGGAAGGUAGAAUUCCCGGUGUAGCGGUGAAAUGCGUAGAGAUCGGGAGGAAUACCAGUGGCGAAGGCGGCCUUCUGGACUGACACUGACACUGAGGUGCGAAAGCGUGGGUAGCAAACAGGAUUAGAUACCCUGGUAGUCCACGCCGUAAACGAUGUCGGCCAGCCGUUGGGUGCCUAGCGCACUUUGUGGCGAAGUUAACGCGAUAAGUCGACCGCCUGGGGAGUACGGCCGCAAGGUUAAAACUCAAAUGAAUUGACGGGGGCCCGCACAAGCGGUGGAGCAUGUGGUUUAAUUCGAUGCAACGCGAAGAACCUUACCUACUCUUGACAUCCUGCGAAUUGGUAGAGAUACCUUAGUGCCUUCGGGAACGCAGAGACAGGUGCUGCAUGGCUGUCGUCAGCUCGUGUUGUGAAAUGUUGGGUUAAGUCCCGUAACGAGCGCAACCCUUGUCCUUAUUUGCCAGCGCGUAAUGGCGGGAACUCUAAGGAGACUGCCGGUGACAAACCGGAGGAAGGUGGGGACGACGUCAAGUCAUCAUGGCCCUUACGAGUAGGGCUACACACGUGCUACAAUGGUCGGUACAAAGGGUUGCCAACUCGCGAGAGUGAGCCAAUCCCGAAAAGCCGAUCUCAGUCCGGAUCGGAGUCUGCAACUCGACUCCGUGAAGUCGGAAUCGCUAGUAAUCGUGGAUCAGAAUGCCACGGUGAAUACGUUCCCGGGCCUUGUACACACCGCCCGU